GCUCAUUGGAUGUUGUACAGUUAGCCUACGUUAGCUGGCAAAGUUACCGACAAUUUAAUUCUCUCUCGGGGUAGGAAUUUGAUGAUUUUAUCUACUUGUAGCGUUCCCUUUUAAUACACCAAAUAGUAUAACUAUGUCAGCGUCUCUCGAUUGAAUACAAUCUCAGCUAUUUCUGUUUUUACCGCUAAUAAAUUAUUUUUAUUAAUUUAUUUUUUGGUGUGACGUGCUCUACCCGUAAACGAACGGUAAGCUUUAUCCUCUAUCGGUCGCUCCAAAUGCUUUUCAAGGGACAUCACUUGUAAUAAAGAUGUAGUUACUUUGUGCGUUUAACGUUCUAAAUUAAAUUUACUGUAAAGGUUGAGCGGUUGGAACCAGAGCUUAUCCUAUGGCUGCCUGACAUAACAAUGACAUAAGGAGCGAUAGCCUAGUUACAGUACAAAACGGGGCUUCGCCAUCGCCGAAAAUACGCCAGUAAUAAAACAUAGCCUAUUUCGGAUAAUAUAACAGAAAAUUUUGUCAAAUUCUUAAAGUUGGCAGAUUAUUUGGCAAACCACCGAGGGCUUAGGCUAUUCCUGUCGCCACAUGGUGAUUUUAGUAAGUCCUAGAACGACAUAAUAAACUAAUAAUAUCUAAUAAUAAUAAUAUUAACAGCAAUAACAACAACGAUAGUAAUGCCAACAGCAUCAUUAAAAACGAGCAGACGGUCGUAGGCUUUGUAGAAUAAUUAUACGUAGGCAGGUAUCUGUCCUGUCUGCUGUAAAUAUGUGUAAUGCAUGGAGCUACAAAAGUGUGGUUUGUGCUACACAGACAGAAAUGUUCACAUGCGACGGUCGCCUAAAUAUGGAAUUGAUGAAUGGGGUUGAAGGUUCUAUGUAUUUUUCCCCUUUAAGAGCGGGGAGUUCUGUCAGGAGGCAGAGGUGCCGAGCCGAGCCCAGCGGCAGUAUUUCAGCCAAUUAAAAACCGCCCUCCCCCGUUCACCACUCGGAGAAAGGGCGGGCUCAAGAACUUGAGCGAUGUGUGCGGUUUCCAAGGCAACCACUUGCCUUGACCUCUCCUGUAACCCCCAUCCUCCUCGGGCAAGAGACAUGUUUCCAUGGAGAUAAUUGGAUCUCGGAGUACUUUCUAGUUCCCGUAAAGUGUGGUGUUAGAACGUCGGAAAGAGGUUUUCUAUAGCCAAUAUAGAAGUGUCAUGUCACUACAUCGCAUUCUGGCUAAUGUUUGCAUGGAUUCUGUUCCCUUACUGCUUUCCCUGGAGUGAGAUAUUUUGUCACAUAAUUUGUGACGUGAAACAACUGAACAAAACAGGAACUCUGCAAGGGAGGACAGACGAGGAACCAAAAUGGAACCGAAAAGCCCUCUGGUCUGUGAGCAAAUUUUUUUUGUAGGAUGUCUUUGGAAGGUUCAUGAAUAAUUCAUAGAACUCUUACCCUAGAUUAUCUUGAGUGGUAGUAAAAACCACCAGUCGGUCUUAUUAAAAACACUAUUGCCGGUCUUUGCAGUGCCAUUUAGUGAGGAAUGUCUAGGUUAAAGCAUCUGACAAAGCUCAACUCUAUUCAGCAGCCUUCCAAACUCAUCCUAUGAAAAAAACAUACUGCCUCCUCCUUUUGACAGCGGUGUACUGACUCAUCCUCUCUUCUUCAUGUGUGGAGCAUUGCAUUGUGGGAUUCCUUUUUUGCUUGAAGCUUGCAAUGUAUACUCUUGGUGGGAGGGAGGAAAAUUGAGGGAGCAAGGGAAUAUAAUUGCUCCCUCCUUUUUCAUAAAACAACUGAACGCCACUUGGUGCGGCUGCCAUAUUUCAUCCUGCCAUUUUGGGUAUUUUCCCCUUGAUGCCAAGGAAAGGAAUGUUAGGAAGGAAGCAUACAAUUUGGAUCCAAAUCCAACCUUUGCAUUCAAAGUAGUGUUGACAGAUUUAGGGAAAAAAUUACAAAUACUCUAGUAUGCUAUAUAGUAGAUGCCUCCAAAAUGUACUUAAGUACUGUAAAAAGUAUUUCAAUAAACAAAGGAUAUCUAUCACGCCUUUUGUAAACAUAACUAUGAAACAAAAUGAUUAAUUAAAGUGAAACUAAAUCUGGGAAAUACAAAAAUACAAAAAAAAAAAAAAAAAAACUGAAUUCCAGAAAAAAAAGCAUUUCAUAAUGCCAUAAAAAUUUGUUUCAUAGAUUUUUGUUGAACGUUUGUUAUUUGUCAAAUAAAAUUGAAUUCUGAACAAUUGUAGCAAUAUAUCUUAAGUAAACAAUUGUAGCACAUUAUUAGAUGAAGUGGUUGAAGUAAAUAAGUAGUAUUAAACAAGUAGUUGAGAUAGUCAAGUAAAAUAUGUAUAGAAAUAUAAAAUAUACAUGUAGAAUUUUCUUUUUAUACUUAAAGCCAUUGAUGGAGGGAUGAUAAUAAUUAUGGGACACUAUCUACAUUUCUGUUGAUACCAUGACUAGAAACUACGCAGUCAGUAACAUCGCUAAAAGUCUCCAAGUUAAUUUUAAAAAGCAGCUAAAUUUGUGGCUGGGUGCUUUUUGGGAAAAUAAGUUGCUAGGGGAGGCCAAAAGUUGAUAGAUCAACCUACAAAGCGGCCAAGCAGGCAGCACUGGUUAGAACCUUAUCCCUAAGUGUACAACAAUCAGACAUGGCGGCUGGGCGAGAGAGCCGCUGCUCUGCAGUUAACAGUACAUGUCAAGACAACCGACUGGAACGCUUGUGCCAGUGUGCAACCGCAACAAGACUUGUUUGUCUGACUUAGGUCACCUGAAACAAUUACAGGAGCAGAAUAAACUCCUACAACUUCAACCGAUUCAAUUGUUACGGCACUGUUUUACUGUGGUAGCCAGCCAACUUGAAGCAAAUUGUGACUAUUAUACAUAGCCAGUCAUAGCCAUUUUAUGUGACAUCAGAGACUAAAAUUAGUUUUCUAUAAUAUUGUUUAUUUACUUAUUUGGCUACGAGUAAACAAGAGCGCUCACUAGCUGGCUAAAUAACGCGCUGUUAUUUGGGAAUAACUUGCUAGAGCUAAAUUUGCUAGCCAUGUACUGUCUGUUCGUAUCUUCAUCGCACUCGAGUUAAUUUAGUCCCACAAACUCACAGGUAACUCAAGUUUGCUUAUGUUACAAACUAAUCUAGCUAGCUAAUGCCAACUUCGUACAACACAUUUUUACAACAAAGUAGCUAGUGAGCUAGCCUGUUUGGUCAGGUAAUUUAUACUAGCCUGUUUGCAUUAGUGCUCCAUUAAAAAAAGAAAAAGUUAUAGAUUUGUGCUUUUAGCUUAACUUGACUGCCCCCCCCUUGCUUGGUCACACACACACACACACACACACACACACACACAAUUCUUUCCAACAAUAAAUAGCAAGUUUUUUCAUGCAGUGCCACAGUGUUGGAAGCUAUUAUUUACUCCAGGAAGUUGAGUAAGACAGAUGAUUAGUCUGUUUUUACCUUUGCAGGGCUGUGUUUGAGAGCUGGUUUAGUGAUAGCUUCCCCAUGACAAAAUGACAUCAUAUUGUUUGUGUGCAACAAGGUUAGUCAUAGCUAACACCAGGUGGAACACCACAUGAGCUUAGAAGUGAUGAUCAAUGUUUGAGCAAACACUGGGGAUAAAAAGCUUAAAUACUGAGAUAAAUGACACAUCCUACAAAUACCCAGGGCUCCCCCAGACCUGCUAUGCUAUGACAUCAUGAAUCAGCCAAUGAAUCUGGGGACAAUGUAGUGCACAAGCUGUCUGGAUGUGAUCAUCUAAUGAACUGUGUGUGUGUGUGCGUGUGUGUACAUUUUUAAGUGUGUCCAUGCAUGUGGGUACAGUUCAGUGUGCACGUGCACAUGUACGUAGAGGCUUGUGUGUGCGCAUGUGUGUGUAUGAGAGAGAGAGAGGGAAUGUAAGUGUGCAUGCAUGAGUGCAGGCGUAUGUAUGUCUUACGAAUGUGUGUGCUUGUGUGUGUUUGUGUGUUAUAGCCCAACCCCAAUGGAACGUUCUCUUCCUGUGACCUGUUGAGACGAAUCUGCGUGCCUGGGAGUGCAGGUGUGUUCACCACAACGGCACACACUGGCUUCUUAAAGAUGCAGUCACGCACACGGAGGAAAGGUUGGGGCUGACUGAGAGGAAGAGAUUUAUGACUCUGCGUAGACUGACUGAAGGGUCAACCAUUGCAACUGGAUGCUAUGGGCAUAUCCGGUACCCCUGUGUGUACGCUGAAUUACUGCAAGUGUUACCACCACAUUUUCCUGCUCUUAUCAUGACUUCUGUGAUUCACUAUAUCCCUACAAACAGCAGUCAUAGUGUCACGUUUCGUUUGGAAGCUGUCAGAGUUCAGCCUUCUGAUUGGAUGCUGUUUGUUGUCACAUGUGUGCCAGUCCUGUCCUAUGUCAUGCCAGUACAGCACCUCUGAAACUGAAACUGAAAAAGGGAGUGAAAGAGCAAGCGGUAGAGAAUGAGACAGAGGGGGAGAGACAGGAGAAGAGAAGGGCUUACAGAAGGAUCGGGAGAAACUGAAAUAGAGAGACAGAUAUCUACUGAGACAAACAGACAGAGGGAGAGAUAGUCAGAGAAGAAGGGAAGCAGGGAGGGAGGAGACGGAGAAAGAAGAUUCAGCUACUCCCUGGCAUCUCACAGCAGUCAGCUGCCUGCCCAACCAAAGGCCUGGACAUUUUCCCUCACAACCCUUACAGAAGUGGAACAGGCUGUAUGGCACUAUAUUGAAAAACUAUAUUAUUAUGCUUAUAAAAUAUAUUGAAACACUUAAAUGUGAAUGUGUUUCAAUAUAUGGGAAAAUACAGGGAUGGUCUUUUUGUUUUUACUAAAUGCAUUGCUCUGAAAUAUACAUUUUCCAAAUAGUCAAUAUAUUUUGCAGUAUAUUCCAUUUCCUCAAAGAAACUACACCAUACCACACCAUGCUUCUCAGCUUUGCCCAAUAGACACCAAAUGUUUAGAGAUCAUAUUCCACACACACACACACACACAGGUUUCCAAAGAAUUUCUGGCGAAAUCACAGAAAAACACUACGUAAUUGUGAAUACAGACUUACACCCCCUAAUUAUUAUCAUUUAGCCAUGAAAGGUGCGUGUCAAUAAUAAAGAAUGUUCCAAAUGCAAGAAUUGAAAUACCGGAUUUGUUUAGUAUUGCUAACUGUUCUGAUAAAAUUACCAUGCCAAUGACAAUACCUCAUUAAAAUUCUAUUCUUAACCUGGAAUAACAAAAACGGAAUGACAUUCUCAACACUGUUCCUGCAAUUUUCACAGGACAUCCAGGAAACCGAUUCAGGCACUGGGAAUGUUGACAUGAACUUUCCAGGAAUGCUCUAGGACGCAUUCACUAAUUGGGGAAGUUCCGGAGAAAACGUUAAGCUUCUCUUUGAUGACAAGGCAAUCGAGAUCUUCACUCUGGGCUUCCCUUUGAGAAAGCUGAACUCCCAGCCCCCUGGUCUCAACACCAGCCCAUCAGUCCUUCCACCUAGAGCGCCCCAACACAUCCGCAGGCAUGAAUUAAACACAGGGAAGUGGUCUGGGGCCCAGGUUUCAUUGCAGGGUUACAGUGCUGAGUGCAUUCUGUUGUUCUAACAUAAAUGGGUUUACUCACUCUGAGUGUGUGUGUGUAAGUGUGUGUGUUUGUGCGCAUGCACAUAUGCAUGUGCUGUUGUAAGAGAGUUUGUGUUUCUGUUUUUUAUGUACAUCUGUGUUCAUGUGUUUACAUUUUCAUAUAAACAUAGCAGACUUCUCUCUCAUCCAGAGUAUCCUACACAGCUUUUGACAUACGUUUCUGACACGUAAUCAAUUUAUAUAGCUGGAUAUUUACUGAUGCAAUUCCGGUUAAGUACCUUACUCAAGGGCACAAGGGCAUUGGCUCCACCUAGGAACUAAACCUGCAACCUCUGAAUAACAAUCCCGGUACCCUGGACACUGCACUACACUGCUGCCAUGUUUGUAUGUACAAUGGGCCAGUGGCCUGCAAGCAUACAGUAUGUGUGCUUACAAGUGUAUUUGUACAUGCGUGCAUAUGCACUUUUGCCUGUAUCUGUUAUGCGUUUAUAUUGUGUUGUAGCUGGUAACAGUGAAAACAGUAAUGAGGCUUCUGUGCAUGUUUUGCGUGUGUCCAUAUCAGUAUUCUGUGUUUUUUGGUAUACCUUGUAAAUGUGUUUGUGUGUGUAUGUGUGAGUGAGUAUGUGUGUGCAUAAUUUGCAUGCGAGUAUGUGCACAUGUAUGUUUAUGUGUUUAUACGUAAUGUGUGUGUAUAUUUGUGUAAGUGUUCACAAGCGUGUAUGCGUAACGCACGUGUGCAGUGUGCAUGCGAUCACAGACUCAGGUGCAUAUUUACACUCUGAAUCUGCAGCUUUAGUGCCUCCAGUGGUUGAUUUAUGUCUCUUUGUAAGUAUCCAUUAGGCGCUGUCUGGCAGUUUGAGGG